CGGAAAGGUCUCUUCGGAGACACUCGAGUGGCGAACGGGUGAGUAACACGUGGGCGAUCUGCCCUGCACUUCGGGAUAAGCCUGGGAAACUGGGUCUAAUACCGGAUAGGACCACGGGAUUCAUGUCCUGUGGUGGAAAGCUUUUGCGGUGUGGGAUGGGCCCGCGGCCUAUCAGCUUGUUGGUGGGGUAACGGCCUACCAAGGCGACGACGGGUAGCCGGCCUGAGAGGGUGUCCGGCCACACUGGGACUGAGAUACGGCCCAGACUCCUACGGGAGGCAGCAGUGGGGAAUAUUGCACAAUGGGCGCAAGCCUGAUGCAGCGACGCCGCGUGGGGGAUGACGGCCUUCGGGUUGUAAACCUCUUUCACCAUCGACGAAGGUUCGGGUUUUCUCGGAUUGACGGUAGAUGGAGAAGAAGCACCGGCCAACUACGUGCCAGCAGCCGCGGUAAUACGUAGGGUGCGAGCGUUGUCCGGAAUUACUGGGCGUAAAGAGCUCGUAGGUGGUUUGUCGCGUUGUUCGUGAAAUCUCACGGCUUAACUGUGAGCGUGCGGGCGAUACGGGCAGACUAGAGUACUGCAGGGGAGACUGGAAUUCCUGGUGUAGCGGUGGAAUGCGCAGAUAUCAGGAGGAACACCGGUGGCGAAGGCGGGUCUCUGGGCAGUAACUGACGCUGAGGAGCGAAAGCGUGGGGAGCGAACAGGAUUAGAUACCCUGGUAGUCCACGCCGUAAACGGUGGGUACUAGGUGUGGGUUUCCUUCCUUGGGAUCCGUGCCGUAGCUAACGCAUUAAGUACCCCGCCUGGGGAGUACGGCCGCAAGGCUAAAACUCAAAGGAAUUGACGGGGGCCCGCACAAGCGGCGGAGCAUGUGGAUUAAUUCGAUGCGACGCGAAGAACCUUACCUGGG
rnacentral:rRNA from 1 species